GCUUACGGCCAUACCACCCUGAACACGCCCGAUCUUGUCUGAUCUCGGAAGCUAAGCAGGGUCGGGCCUGGUCAGUACUUGGACGGGAGACCGCCUGGGAAUACCAGGUGCUGUAAGCU
rnacentral:rRNA from 1 species